GGUUGUCUUGGACGUGAGCUUCAACCGUCUCACCUACUUACCAACCAACAUAGGGUUCGAGCUAGUGAAUCUAGAAAAGCUCAUGAUCCAAUACAACAAGAUCCGAUCCUUACCGAGCAGUAUAGGCGAAAUGAGAUCCCUAACAUACCUCGACGCCCACUUCAACGAACUCCACGGCCUUCCUGACUCUUUCGUCUUGCUCACAAACCUAGAGUACUUGAACCUAAGCAGCAACUUCAGCGACCUCAAGGAUCUCCCUUCCUCCUUCGGCGACCUCAUAAGCCUCCAGAAACUGGACUUGAGCAACAAUCAAAUCCACGCCCUCCCUGACACUUUUGGCACGCUGGAGAGCCUGGUGGAGCUGAACGUGGACCAGAACCCGCUCGUGGUCCCACCGAAGGAAGUUGUGAAUGAAGGCGUGGUGGCUGUGAAGAUGUACAUGGGUAAGAGAAGGAUCACUAUGUUGGAAGAAGAAGAGAGGAGGAGAGUGGAGGAGGAGAUGGAGCAGGCGAACGCUGGGUGGCUCACACGAACCACCUCUAAGCUGAAAAGUUAUGUCUCAGAUGUUUCUGAGUAUCUAAACCCGAGUUCUCCUCGAGACCCUUACCUUGAGAGGGAACUAUGAAUGUGACUUUGGCUUUGAAGAAACGAUAACUCUCUUUUCAGUCAGAGUAUAUAAUGAAGGGUUCUCUCUUCGUUACGUUUGUGAUUCUUUCUGAUAGGUUAUAUGCCUGUCUUUUAACUUGGGUUCAUUGUUAAGAUGAACCUUCUUGAAUUUUGCCGGUUUUAAAGAAAAAACAAACAACUGUUUUGUGGGUUAAAUAAAAGCUCAAAGGAGUUUAACUGAGUUCUGUGUGUCUUAUAUUCUUUUGGUUGGUUUCCUUGGUUUGAUAAUUGCAUUAGACUAUGAGUUAAAGUCUAAAGAUUCUAAUCUAAUAUUGUGAGAAACAUGAACGGAUCUACCUCUUACGUUUAUGCUAGUUUUGUGCAAAAUUAAGCGUAUGGUUCACAAGCUUAAGUUUCAAGAAAUGGACAGCUAGAGCCUGAGAGUUGGAUUCAAGGAUGUAGGUCCCAAAGUCCUUAACUAUUUCAGAACCGGUUAAUGAACAGGACCUGUCUGAAGGAGCUCUGGUGACUUAUCUUAAGGGAUGACUUUAUUGUCGGUUGGUAGUGUUCCUUAUAAUAAGAUUCAGCACGUUGCGGUAAGUCAACGGACAACAAGAUCGUGCCCGAGCAUGGGUCAUGAACUGAUAAUCCACUUCACGAUCCCAAAUCCCGUGAUCUGUGAUUAUGAGACAGUAUCCAUAUAAUAAACAGAAUUAUCUACUGAACACAAAGUCGUAUAAAAAUUUAGCAUAUACUCCUAUUUUACUACAAACAGAAGCCAUAUUUGAAUCAUUGUAACAAAUGUGACAAUUACAUUUCAACAACCUGUAUGUAACUAUCUUAUUUUGCUUGCCCUUAUCUUUACCUAUUUAAAUCAUUUGGAUUUUUUUUUCCACCUAAUUAUUUAUUGGUGCAUGUGAUGAUCAUUACAACUUUUAUGGGUUCGAAACUACAUUAACUUCAUAAUUACAUAAAACGCAGUAAAUCGAACCAAACCGAAAACCGGUAUUACUACGAACAAGGUUAGAAGUCAAAAACAGGCAAGUCCGACGUUAAUUGAGAGUCCCACAAAACAGUUAAAAAGUAGUAGUCUUAUAAAUGCAAUGUACUGAAUAAUUAAAUUUAAACUGACGGAAACUUACAUAAACGCAUUAAAAAGAGAAGAAGAAAAAACAAUAAUACAUAACGCAUUGUUGAAGAAGCUUUAGCCCAAAAAAAAAAAAAAACUCUGAUUUGACCAUUCCUCCUUGUUCACCACCAAUCGCAACUUUCUCCAAAUCUCGAUUCCACCAUUCUCCCCGAUUGCCGCAUAAGAAUCCUCAAAUCGAAUCAGAUCGAAGUGGGACUUCCCAAAAUCCGAUGAAGAUGGCGGCGAACGGCCGAUUAUUCACGAUCGGGAUCGUCGCGUCGUGGUACUCGUCCAACAUCGGAGUGCUGUUACUAAACAAGUACCUCCUCAGCAACUACGGGUUCAAGUACCCGAUCUUCCUCACCAUGUGCCACAUGACCGCCUGCUCCCUCCUCAGCUACGUGGCCAUCGCGUGGAUGAAGAUGGUCCCUAUGCAGACGAUCAGGUCCCGCGUCCAGUUCCUCAAGAUCGCGGCGCUGAGCCUCGUCUUCUGCGUCUCCGUGGUGUUCGGGAACAUCUCCCUCAGGUUUCUCCCCGUCUCGUUCAACCAGGCCAUCGGCGCCACGACGCCGUUUUUCACCGCCGUGUUUGCGUAUUUGAUUACGUUGAAGAAGGAGGCCUGGUUGACUUAUGUUACGCUCGUGCCCGUUGUCACUGGUGUUGUUAUUGCUAGUGGGGUAAGUUUGUGUUUUUUUUUUUAUUUUGAUUGAGAUAUUGAAAUGUGUUGUUAUGUGAAUGUAGAGGCAUGGCAUCUGAUUGGUUCUGUUUUGUAUGUGAAUGUUGAUAGAAAUCUUAGGAAAGGUAACAUUUGUGAAUGUUGAGAAGUUGUUCUUAUAUGUGUGUGAAGAGUAUGCUUACUUUUGCAUCUAUUCGAUUUCAGACAGAGUUUUGUUAUCUCUGUAUUGAGUUGACUCUCUAUCUGAUUUUUUUUUUCUUUGUUUUCGUGAUUUGACCAGAGUGAACCAAGUUUCCACCUGUUUGGAUUCAUAAUGUGCGUUGCAGCCACAGCUGCGAGAGCACUUAAAUCAGUUCUUCAAGGGAUUUUGCUAUCUUCAGAAGGGUAAGUGAUAAAUAUCAUCUUUUGGAGAUUUACCAGCUUAAGGUUUUAUAUUUCUCAAGUCUUUAUUUGUCAAGAUAGCUGCUGAAAAUAUUUAUUAUGAAUUUUGUUUUGAAGGGAGAAGCUAAACUCCAUGAAUCUCCUCCUCUACAUGGCUCCCAUAGCGGUUGUGUUCCUUCUUCCGGCUACCCUUAUCAUGGAGAAGAACGUUGUUGGCAUCACAAUUGCACUCGCCAGAGACGAUUUCAGAAUCGUUUGGUAUCUGCUAUUCAACUCGGCGCUUGCUUAUUUCGUGAACUUGACUAACUUCUUAGUCACAAAACACACCAGCGCUCUGACACUCCAGGUAAAACAAUUCAUCUUCUUCUAUACAUUAAUUACCACUUCUUCUCUAAAAGUUAAUAAGUGGUUUCAUGAACCUUCUCUAUGGCAGGUGCUAGGAAACGCCAAAGGAGCAGUAGCAGUGGUGGUAUCGAUCCUAAUAUUCAAGAAUCCUGUCUCAGUGACUGGAAUGUUAGGCUACUCGCUAACUGUCAUUGGAGUAAUCCUCUACAGUGAAGCCAAGAAACGAAGCAAAUGAAGUUAAAGAAACCUCUUCAAUUUUUAUUUGUUAGGUCCUUGCAGGUAAAACACACAAGGCAAAGUUCCUUUUGCUGGACCAGAAGCAAAAGGAUGUGUAAAGGCAACACCAAAGGAUCAGAGUACCCAUAAGCAAUAAGUGAUUUUUGUUUCCUUCUUUUAAUUUUUGUUUACGGAUCUUCUACAGCUUUUGUCUUAGGUUGUUCUAAGAGUAACUUCGAUGUAGCUUCCUUUUUUUUUGGUCGAUUCUUUACAUCUUUUGUGAUACAACAUUUAUAACACUGAUUAAUUAAUGGAAAAGACGAGUUUUUUUUUUUCUUUCAUCUGUCUGUUAAUCCAACUUGUGUUCUGUAGUUCCACUAUGAUUUGGUAAACUCUGUAAGGCUUGGAACUGAAUUUGAUUUCUAAACAGCAAUGUACACUGCUCUGUCUUAAUGUAGUAAAGAACUUUGGAAACGAAGUUAAAGCUUUGAUAAAUAAGAUAAUGUAUGUGUUCUACAAGUGGUUGCAACACAAACAUUUGAUCUCUGAAGGUGUACUAAUGGAAGAUGGAUGGUUCAGAAAAUGAGGAAAAAGAGAUUGAAAAGAAUGAUAGAAGAUAUGAGAGAGGAGGAGAGAAUGUACAAAUCAGAUAAUGAGUUAUUUGAGAUAAAGCAUAUUCAUCAAUCAAUCAUCAGUAUCACUAUCUCCAGCUUCAACUUCUUGAGCCACCCAGUAAUUGUUCCCAUCCGGACCCCAAACCUUGUACCUGUCAAACACAUUUAUCGUCUCAACUAAAAAAAAAAAAAAAUUUGUUAAGAAAAAACCUGUGAUUGAGAUGAAUCAAUGUACUUUACCUUUCGAGAACAGAUUUGCCUUCCUUGUACUUUUGGCUCUUCUCAAAAGCAAACUCCUGAAUAGCAAACAAAACAUUAGAUUAGCAAAGGCAAGGGCCAAAAAAAGAAAGAAACAUUGGAUGUUUUUCUUCUUACAUAUCUCCAUCCAACAUAAGAGCCGCAUUUGACGCAGUAAAUAUCGAAAACGGUGUGCACUCCAGUCAUCAUCAUCCUAUCUUCCUUCUUCCCAGUAUACACAUUCGCUCUGUCCACACACAAGUUGACAUUCAUAAAACUAUUCAUAUCAAGCUUUGGCCAUUUGCAAAGGAUGUUGGGCUUACACAAAAACCAAAUGAAAGUAGAUUAACUUACACCUUACUGAAGAGGUAAGCUUUCCCAUGGCGUGAUUGAAAAGACUGUUAAAAAAAACAAAGCAAACGACAUAGACGUUGUCACUAUCUUCUAUACUCAACAAAGCGCAAAGACAUUGCAAUAUAUCAUUUAAAUAGUUUUAACAAUGUGUGAAGUGAACCAUAUAAGCACUUAGAAAUAAAGUAAUCAAAAUCCACACAGCUUAUUAUGCACCAACCAAUCGUUAUAUGUGAUUGAGAAUGCAGGAUGGUCUCAAGAUUCACGUAGCUAUAUAGAAAGAGUAACAAAUGUUGUAGAUUGAUCUAGUUUCAUACAAUUUACUGCUGCUAAAUCUUUUUCUAGAUGUGAAGUAUCCCCCAAUUCUCAUGAUCCAGAAUCUUAGAGCGUUGAUCAUGGAGAUUCAAUUAACACAAAAAAAAAGGCACAAUCGAUGCAAUGCAAAGCAAUCAACAGUGUUGAUUCUUUACAGUCAAUCUAGAGAAUCUGAUCGUGUACUCAUCGAAUGAUGAGAGAUAAAUCGCAGAAAAAGAUUUAGCAGCAGUAAAAAGAAAUUAUGGAAAACCUUGGAGACGACAUCAUCGCAGAGGGCUAUAUCAGUUUUGCAGUGACGACAACAGUAGGACUUGCCUUCCAAUUCCACCAAGAACAAUCUCCCCAUCUUCUUCUUUUUUUUUCCUUCAGGAAUCGAUCUCACUAGUAGUGGAGAGAAAGGAACCGAUCUUUAUAUUUUUAAUACUAAUCAAUGAGAGAUAUGAGAUCAUUUAAUUACGGAACAAGGCGUUAGAGAUUAUUUUUGGGUGAAAGAACCAAGAAAAGUCUAUAAAAAUGGAGAAAAUUCAGAGUUGUGUGUUCGGUAUUUUUUUUUAUUUUUAUUUAAAAAAAUGUUCAUAAACAUUUUUUUGUAGAAAAGUGGACCCUGACAAAGUCAUGGCCUGGGAAUAUACGUUAAACUAUUUCUUUUAUGCCAAUUUUACUUACGUACAACUCUCUUUGUACUAGAUUGAUGCAAGUGUACGUGAUUGCUUCGUUCUUAUCCUAAGAUUCUUUCUAUGUAUCCAUCAUCACACUACUUGUCAACAAUACUAUAAUCGCGGAGAGCUUCUCGUCUCUCUUCGUUUCCCUCCAAUCGACUCUUUCUAAGGUUAGAAUAAAGUAUUAGUGGAAUGACCCAUCUAUCUUAUUUAUGGGCUUCCAACCUAAAACCAAUUGGUGAUAAGUGGAAUGUCACAUCUAUCUUAUAUAUUAAAGAUCCCUUCCAACUACCGAUGUGGGACCUUUGUCCCUAAUACGCCCCCUCGAGAUGAUGGCUCUUUAAGCGUCAAUCUCGGAAUGUUUGGGCAAGGAUCGAGGACCAACUUUGGACCGGGUCGAUGUGGAUCGGAUUGGACUGCGUGGAUCGGACUCUGAUACCAUGUUAAGCUAGACGGGCUUCCAACCUAAAACCAAUUGGUUGGAAGCCCGUCUAACUUAACAUAAAGAACCAAUUUUUUGGGUUAUAGGAGAUUUCAUCAGUGCCCUUGUUUGUCUUCAUGUUUUGAGCUUUGUAAUGAUCUGAUCGCAUCUCUAGUUGUCCGUGGACCGAUGUAAACAUUGCAAAGUUUGAUGCUUUUAAUCUAUUUGCUUAGAGUUGUUUGUUUGCGUGGCUAAUGGUGUAAUAGGCUACAGGAAGCUCAGUUGAUCACAUGACUUGCUUUGGAGAUGCAGCUGGACGCCUUCAGGAAACCGGUAACGUUAGAGAAAACUCACUGCUUUUCUUUUGUAUGAAUGAAUGAAGAAAUCAACUUGAACUGCUUUUCUUUUGUUUUGUGAAUUUUACAGCUCUAGAUGCAUCCACAAAAGGGAACCGCUACAUCAACUCUUGCCUCAGGUACCUAUCGUAGCGAACACCGAAUAUGUUUCCAAAAUCCAAAUGUGUGGCUUCAUAUCGUCGGUUAAUUAAAUUUCAAAUACACUCACGGUUGUGAUUUGUGAACGAGUUCUUAUUCGGUUCAAAUGUGCAUACUAAACGAGGAAAUUAAAGGCGUUGAUACUCUGGCGGCUCAGUUGUAUCCUUGAUAUAGUUCUUUGCGUGUCAACCAUGUUGUUGAGUGUUGUACACAGAGAGACAAAUACAAACCAUCUUUGGCUCAAAGCUUUGUUAAUUGUGGUUUUAGUUGGAAAUUGUUGUACAAUUCCUUGAUAAAUCAAUCUACAGAAAGCACCUGGGGAGAAAUUUGGAUGUUCUUGACACGGCUGUGAACAAGCUUCUCCGUCCACCAUGACAAGUCAUUGUUAGCUUUCAUGGACUUGGAUCACUUAUCUCUCGUACAUAAAGGUUUUGAUUAUAACUGAUGUUUUUCUUCUUCUUUUGUGACGCAAUGUUUUGUGGUGAAACGUUUUUUACUAAAAUAUUUUUGAAAUUUAAAAUGUUUAGUAACAUACGAUAUUAAAAAAAAAAAUCGAAUUUUUUUUUAAAAACCCUUGAUUAAGAGACUCGCAUUGGAGCACAUAAAUGUUCGGGUCUCUUAACGGAGUCUCUUAACACCCAUUUAUUGCUUAAAAUUAUUAAAAAAUAACUAAGAGACCCUAAAUGAAUAUUUGGGAUAAUGAUGCUAAGAGCAUGAUUAUCCCUAGAAACCCAUAAGGUUUUUUAUGUACACUUUAAUGACUAUUUAACUAUUAAAUUUUAGCUAAGGGUUUUAGUUAAGAAUCACCUAAUUUUUGUGCUACGGUAAUUUCUUAAUUUGGGUUUUUUAAAAAAAAUUUAACUUUUUUUAACGAUUCGAGUAAAUGCUUGACAUACAAACAAACGCCACAAAACCCUAGAACACUUGGAAGAAGUAGAAGAUCAAUCAUUAUAUAAAAAAUAAUCUGGAAGGUCAAACCACCUAGCUAUAUUGACCCAACAGUUGCGUAUGUAUCAAUAUCAUGUAUGUCGUGUUUUAAUCGAUCAAUGUACAUGAAGAGAUUAGGAACCUGAUAACUGGUGUUGAAGUUACCGUACGCGAAGUGAUGAUGCUUGUUUUACCAACUCCUUGAUCGCCAAGGAACACGAGUGUUAGACCAUAAUUAUUGGAGUCUCUUAACAGCGUAUUUUAAUUUAUUUAGGAAUAAAAAAAAAGAAAAUAGCAAUUAACAUAAGAGACGUGAGAGAGAGGCGAUGGAGGCACGAGGUAUACCGUAUACGGUGGAGAAAUCCCAGACGUCGGAGUUGGAUGGAUUGAUUGAUUUGGUGUUGGUAACAAUAGGAGUUGGAUGAGAUGAAGAAUCGAUUGAGGAUGAAGCUGCUGCUCUUCGUGAGAUGCAGGCCAAGGUUGAGAAGGAUAUGGGACCUCAAGGUUUGUUCUGAUUCUGAUUUGUUAGCGGCAGAUUCAAGUUCUUUUGUAAUUCAACUGUUUAUUCAAUUCUAUUUGCAGUUCCUGUUACGAUAGCAGCAGAUCAAGCAGGCAAGGAGGAGGUGGAUGCUCGAUCUGUUUUUGUUGGCAAUGUAAGAACGCUUAUGUGUCUUUAAUUCUUCUUUGAAUUGAAACGUUGUAACUCCUAGUUGAUUUCAUAGUUUGUUCCUCUUUGUGACUUAGUGGGCAUUCAGCUAGACUUAUGAAUUGUGCGUAGAUGACUAGCCCAGUUGAUAAAAAGGAGUGUUUAGUCUUAAGAGUUUAGAAGUGUAUUAUGGUUUAAUUGUGAGUUCAUAAUCUGAUUAUUUUCUCUUGCUUUCUCUACAAUGCAUGCACUGGAUAUCUGUUCAAUGACGAGUCUAGAUUUGGCGAAUAUUAUGAAUGGUAAAAUUGGGUGAUGAGAUUGUAGAGUACAUCUUAAAAUGUAGUAUCAUAAGCCAUUGUCUGUCCAUUAGAAAUUCAGUUUCAUUUGUACAUAGUACUGACUUUUCCAUUUGGGCAGUCACAGGGUCCACUUCAGCACAUUCAGUCUAUGUCUGGUUUGAAGGACAUAACCGAAAGCUCAAACAGCCGUGAGAGUUUCUCCAGUGGAACACAUCCUGGAAGAUGAAGAUCAGUUACUGGCUCCUGUCACCGUUUUGUUAACUUGUUACUCAAGGUUAGUCUUUUGUAUAUAAAGAGGCGAAAUCUAUGUAUUCGUUUUGGUGUUUUUCUGGCUCAUGCCAACUCUUAUGUAUAAUUAAGGGAAAGAUUAGAAGAAUCUGUAAAAUAUAAUUGAUCAUCUUUGUUCACUAUAUAGUAUGUAAAGUCUGAGUCUCUAUGGUCACUCAUAAGGAUUAUGAGUUAGUAUAGAAUCAUUUGCUCUGUUUUUUUGCUUGUAUGCUGAGGAUUGAAGAGAAAUUUUCUUGAUUUAUCUUGUUAUGAUCAUGUACACACUUGUAUAGUCUGAGUCUUUGUGGUCACUCAAAAGGAUCAUGAUUUAGCAUAUAAUCAUUUUCUCAGUUCUUUUGUUCAUAUGCUAAGGAACAAAAGUGUCUUAUUGUUCCAUUUAUCGACAUAUUAUGAUCAUAUACAUACUGUAUAGUCUGAGCCUUGUAAUGUUGUGUAAUCUUGUUGUGUUUUAUUGUGUAUUCUUGUCAAGUAUUGUGUAAUUUUUUUUAAGAAUGAGGUCUUUUAAAUAACAAUAUAACAUUUAAUACUGAAAAAUGAUUAAGAGACCCAAAGUGAGUCUUUGGGUUAAUGAUGCUCUUAGUCUUAGAUUCUUCUAUGCAUCCAUCAUACUACUUGUCAACAAUACUAUAAUACUCCUCUGAUUACUCGCAAACCCUCUUAGCUAUAAAGAGUCUUUACAAAAGAGUCUUUACAAAGAGUCUCCAAUCUCUGUAUCGAUACCAUUUUAUCCAAAGACAAAAGAAGAUUUUGCAGCUUUUGCGUUUGAGACAGGUGACAAAUCUUAAUUAUGCCUUCAUAUGUGGCUUGAUCAAAAAUUGUAGCUUUAAAAUUUGUUCUCGAAACUUAAAUCUACUAGUUUGUUCCUUGAGUCUUUUUUUCCACCUUUUUUGGGACUUAAGCAACUUCUAUCAUCUUUUAUUGUCAGAAAUGAAUAUUUACAUACCUUUUAGCAAAAAAAUGGUGCAUAUGUUCUUGAAGGUCAACAAGGCGACCAUUAAUAUGCUUCGCUGAGUUGAACCCUACGUGACCUGCGGGUACUCCUCUCUUCAUUUACAAUGUCAAAACUGCCUUUCUUGUGAACUGCACGUUAGAGUGUUUUUUUUUUUAUAACAUCUUAACUUUAUUAAUAUCAAAAGAGAGUUAACAAUGAACCAGAAUCAAAAUUUACAACAAAUACAUUUUAAGCUGAACAUGACAACGUCAAGAGUGUUUCUGUGUAGCCAUGUUGGGCUCAGUCGUUAAUUACGAUACAUUGCAGUUUUGAAGUGUAAUAUUUAAUAUAAAGCGAACCCAUAAUCUAUUUUUUAAGGUUUGAUGAUUUCUUGAUGAGUUAUUCCUGUAAAAAAAUAUUUGGUUUUAUGAGUUUUAAGAUAGAGAGAGUCACUUUAUUAACAAGGAGAUUUUUUAUUUUAUUUUUGUUACAUAUGAUUACAAGGAGAAUUAUUACAUAUCAUUAAACUGGUUUUGCCAUGUCCUAGCAUAAACAUAAUUUUAUUUACUCCACGCGAUAUUAUUAUAAUCGAUCAUUAUUUUAGACAUUUUAUUCCGAUUCUAAGAACAAGCUUGGGAAGGAAUACACUUGAUAGAACAGAAGCAUACUUGAUCUUUUCCAUUGAAAACCUGUUUGUCUUGGCAAAUACGGUGACAGGUUUGACAAAUGGGGCGAGAAGCACCAUCGUUUGAAGAAAUCUUAACCUCGAAGCCAUUCACUUUGAUCCUAUUGCCACAUUUCAAAUAAGGGUAUUUCCCUAAGAUGCAGUCAACAUGUAGAGUGGUGAAGCAAUGGCGGCAGGUGUAGAUAAUUCGUCUUUUCUCUAUAAUUUCUUCACAUAUCUCACACCACCCACUGCUAUGACCUUCAUGAUCAUAGUAUAAGGUGAGUGGAUGGUCGUCACACUUGUAUUCCACCUGUCCUGGUAAAUUCAGGCAUUUGAAGUCAAAGUCGAUGCUGCCCGAUCGAGAUCGAGAUGCCUCACCUAGCCGAGCCGGGAGUCCUCGCCUCCAUGACCAAGGCCAUCACCGACGUCGCGGAGACCCGAUCCGUCCUCCGAACCCUAGGGCCCAGGCCCGAUCACGAGGCCGUCGACAGGGCGCGCGCCAAGCUAAACGAGAUCGAGGGGAUGCUGUCGGAGUCCUUCGAGGACAUCGCGCUGACCGAGGCGGCGGGGGAGGAUGAGAUUGAGAAGAGGAGGCGGGAGAUGGAUCAGGAGAAGACGUGGUGCGAGUCGAUUUUGAAGCUGGAUGAGGUUCAUGGGUCUUAUGAGAAGCUGUUGAGUGAGGCGGAGGAGAGGCUUGUGAGGAUUUAUGAGUUUGCGGAGAAGAAAGCUAAGGUUGAGGAAGGUGAGGGUGGGGUUGAGGAGGUGGAGGUUAAUGAGGAGGUUGUGGGGAUACUGCAGGAGGCGUUGGCUAAUCCUGUGGAGAGGGUUGAUUUGUCUGGGAGGAAGCUGAGUUUGCUCCCUGAGGCUUUUGGGAGGAUUCAAGGGUUGCUUGUUCUUAAUCUCUCCAACAAUCAGCUCCAGGUUUGUUCUCAUUUCAAGAAUCGGGAUCACAGUUUGCUACAUUGUUGCGAGUAGGAUGAGUCUGACUGAGUCUCUUCCUGGCUUCUCUAGAUAUAUGUUAAAAGAUGCAAUUUUUGUUUUAAGAUCAUAUAGGUUUUGAGAAUCUGGUUGUGAAAUUUGAUACCUUGUGGCGAGUAGGGUGAGUCUGAAUCUGUUCCCGGGUUCUCUAGAUGUUAAAAGAUGCAACUUUUGUUUAAGAUCCUAAAGAUCUGGGGAUUUGGUAACGUUAAUUGAUUGGGGGCAUUCUACAGUCGCUAUUGAGAAACCCCUUUAGUAGAAGAUGUUCAGUAGUAAUCACAAGGUUACUAGUUGCAUUUGGUUUAGGCCUUAUUCCAUUGGUGACGAACAAUGCCUUUUCUGUUGUGAUUCAAAGACAUUUAGACAUUUUGUAUCAAUGAUGUCUAGUCUGAUGUUAAAAGAUGCAACUUUCGUUUAAGAUCCUAUAGCUUGGAGAAUGUGGUAACGUAAAUUGAUUGGGGGGGAAUUAUAGAGUCGCUGAUGAGCAUACAGUUUAGUAAAUGAUGAUAAGGAGUGAUCACAAGAGUACUAGUUGCAUUUGGUUUUGGUCUUAUUCUAUUGGUGACGAACAAUGCUUCUGGUGUGAUUCAAAGAUAUUUUGUUUAAUGAUGUCUAGAGUGAUGUGAUAUUAAAGAGAUUCUUGCUAAUGUGUGUUUGUUUUGGUUUUGCGUCUGAGAUUUUGGUCGUUAAUGAUUUGUAGUCUAUUGUAGUUUAAAGAGAUUCUACAUAUCUGCUUCUUUUUGGUUCUGUUAUCUUUGAUAUUAGUCAAACAUGUGUUCGAUAAGUUAGUUAUAUAAAGGAAUAGGUCCAGUUAUGGCUAAUAAGUUGAUUCACGUUCUGCAAGCGAAUGCCGCUGAUGUCAAUGCUAUUGGUUUCUUUGGUUGUUCUGAGUUGGAACCUAUGGCUCUAGCUGCAUUAGUUUUUUUCAUUUUUAGUUAUACAAAAUAACUUGCAAAAGCUCAGUUUCUGAGUUUCACUUGUCUUACUCUGACCGAGGUGUAUUGUCCAACAGGCUAUUCCUGAUUCAAUAGCAGGAUUGCAUGGUCUUGUUGAAUUAGAUGUCUCCGGGAAUCUUCUGGAGACCUUACCUGAUUCUAUCGGUCUACUGUCAAACUUGAAGAUUCUGAACGUCUCGACUAACAAGCUCACCGCCUUGCCUGAUUCCAUCUGCCGUUGCGGGUACAUACAUAACUCUCACUUUGUCAAGUUUUAGUUUUUGUAAUCAAUCUCAACCACUUUCUUAACAUCAAAUCCUCAGGUCGUUGGUUGUCUUGGACGUGAGCUUCAACCGUCUCACCUACUUACCAACCAACAUAGGCUCCGAGCUAGUGAAUCUAGAAAAACUCAUGAUACAGUACAACAAGAUCCGAUCAUUACCAAGCAGCAUAGGCGAAAUGAGAUCCCUAACAUACCUCGACGCCCACUUCAACGAACUGCACGGCCUACCUGACUCUUUCGUCUUGCUCACAAACCUAGAGUACCUAAACCUAAGCAGUAACUUCAGCGAC
rnacentral:lncRNA from 1 species